GCCGAAGGUACAGCAGCCGAGGUCGCCGGAGAGUUCAGCGCAACGACGAUGAAAGUACUCGCCUUUGCGAGCGCCGAGGACUCGGGGCCAGUACACAAGCAGUAGCAAAGUGAACAGCAGAGACUGACAAGCAACAUUAACUGCUGGUUUUGCCUGCUUCAAGAACUUGUCCAAAUAAACUUGCUCGAAGCAAGUACCCCUAAGAAAUAUUGUGGGCUGCCAAUAAUUAGAGCGCCAUACAGGUCCAAAGUUAACAUAACAGCACAUCCAGAAAAGUGCAGGGUGGAAGAGCAUAGGACCAUUAUCAAGUUUGUUUCUCCAAGGGAAACCUGUGAAGUAGACACUUGAUGAAAUGUCACAAACACUGCACAAGAGUGGCCCUUAAUAUGCUACCAUUAAAUGUUGGGUUGCCAAUUUUA